UUAAUAUGAAUCUUACUUUCAAUUUUUAAUUUUAGUUUUGAGAAAUAUCUUUAUUUUUAGUAUAUUAAAGAAAUAAUAAGUUUUGUAAUAGUUUAUUAGUACUGUGAAGGAAUAUGAUGAAAUAUUUAUGAAAAUUUCGUUUUAGAAAAGUAGAUUUAAUUUAUUGUACCUUUUGUAUCAGGGUUAAUCAAAUAUAUCUAAUAUAUUUUAGGUUCUCGAUUUCAGAAGAGCUAAUUAAUUAUUAUGGUUGCUGUUCAUAAUCAUUAUAAAUAUUUUUUAGUAGAGAAAUUCUAUUCGUUUUUAAAGGUAUCUAGUUUCCUAAGAAAUAAAUUUAAUUUAGAGUUAUAAUUUAAUUUAUUUAUUUUUUAAUAAAUUAUUUUUUAAUAUUAAAAUAAUAGGGGAUAAGCUCUAUUUUUUACUAUAAAUGUUUAUAUUCACUUUAUGUAGGGUUAAAAUCAUCCAACAUUAGAGAUUACGUUAUAGUUCAUAGUGUAUUUAAAUUAAUUUUAAUGUUUUUAGUAUUUUAUUAGGAUUUCAUAAUUAAUUUUUUAUUAUGAGAAAUAAUGAUUAAAUUAGUAUAAGUAUUUUGUUUGGAAUUUUAUUAAUUUGUUAGUCUUUUAUAAGGAACUCGGCAAAUAAACACCCGCCUGUAUAACAAAAACAUGUCUUCUUGUAUAUUUAGGAAGUCUGACCUGCCCAGUGAAAUUAAUUUAACGGCCGCGGUAUUCUGACCGUGCAAAGGUAGCAUAAUCAUUAGUCUUUUAAUAGAGGGCUGGAAUGAAGGGUUUGACGAGGUGUUGACUGUCUCAUUUAAUUUGAAUUUAGAAUUUAACUUUUUAGUCAAAAGGCUGAAAUAGUAUUGGAAGACGAGAAGACCCUAUAGAGCUUUAUAAUACUUUUAUUAAUAAAUUUUGGUAAAUGAUUAUUUAUUAUUAUAAUCUAUUAUUUUGUUGGGGUGACAAAAAUAUAUAAUGAACUUUUUUAUUUAUUUAACAUUGAUUUAUGAUUUAUUAGAUCCAAUUUUAUUGAUUAUUAGAACAAGUUACCUUAGGGAUAACAGCGUAAUCUUCUUUCAGAGUUCAUAUUUACAAGAAGGCUUGCGACCUCGAUGUUGGAUUAAGAUGAUAAUUAGGUGUAGCUGCUUAAUGGUAUAGGUCUGGUCCGACCUUUAAAUCCUUACAU
rnacentral:rRNA from 1 species